AGCAGCCGCGGUAAUUCCAGCUCCAAUAGCGUAUAUUAAAGUUGUUGCAGUUAAAAAGCUCGUAGUUGAAUUUCGGGGUUCAUACGUUGGUCGGGCUUUUGGUCUGUACUGGCGUAAUGGAUUCCUACCUUCUGAAUAACCGGCAUGCCAUUAAUUUGGUGCGCCGGGGAAGCAGGACUGUUACCUUGAAAAAAUUAGAGUGCUUAAAGCAGGCUAUCGCCUGAAUACAUUAGCAUGGAAUAAUGAAAUAGGACGGCAUGGUUCUAUUUUGUUGGUUUCUAGGAUCACCGUAAUGAUUAAUAGGGAUAGUUGGGGGCAUUAGUAUUCAAUUGUCAGAGGUGAAAUUCUUGGAUUUAUUGAAGACUAACUUCUGCGAAAGCAUUUGCCAAGGAUGUUUUCAUUAAUCAAGAACGAAAGUUAGGGGAUCGAAGACGAUCAGAUACCGUCGUAGCCUUAACCAUAAACUAUGCCGACUAGGGAUCGGACGAUGUUAAUUUUUUAAUGACUCGUUCGGCGCCUU
rnacentral:rRNA from 1 species